AACAUCUCUGUUUCCUGCAUUGUGAGGUUGCCCAAUGAAUUAAGUGAUUAGGGAUGUAGUUAAUGCAUCUUCUUGAUCAUUAAGUCAAAAGGCAAGAUUCAGUUUCUUUCUUAAGUCGUUAUUAGAUUUUUAUAACAUGUCGUUUCUUGGUGCUAACAAUUUCGAGUUCACUUGAAAAAUGGGUGUCAUGUUUGAGUAGUAGGUUUGCUUUAGUUUGUUCUCUUCUUAAACUAAAAUAAAAUUGAGAAGUCCGUN
rnacentral:lncRNA from 1 species